rnacentral:rRNA from 1 species
UACGGAGGAUGCAAGCGUUAUCCGGAAUGAUUGGGCGUAAAGCGUCCGCAGGUGGCUAUGUAAGUCUGCUGUUAAAGAGUCUGGCUCAACCAGAUAAAGGCAGUGGAAACUACAUGGCUAGAGUGCGUUCGGGGCAGAGGGAAUUCCUGGUGUAGCGGUGAAAUGCGUAGAGAUCAGGAAGAACACCGGUGGCGAAGGCGCUCUGCUAGGCCGCAACUGACACUGAGGGACGAAAGCUAGGGGAGCGAAUGGG